CUUAUGCCGGCGACCGGCGGACGGGUGCGUAACGCGUAUGUAACCUACCCUUGACAGGGGGAUAACAUCGAGAAAUUGGUACUAAUACCCCAUAACAUCACCGGAGGCAUCUUCGGUGGUUGAAAACUCAGGUGGUCAGAGAUGGACAUGCGUUGUAUUAGCUAGUUGGUGAGGUAACGGCUCACCAAGGCGACGAUACAGUAGGGGGACUGAGAGGUCCAACCCCCCACAUUGGUACUGAGACACGGACCAACUCCUACGGGAGGCAGCAG
rnacentral:rRNA from 1 species